CUCGAGUUCAGAGGUGUGCUCCUCCAAUCAAAGCAUUUUAGGGUGAUGUGCUGGUAACCUCUCCCCUGUAUAAUGCAAAACCACUACUGUUCCAAGAGAGAAGAAGGAACACCCGCUCUGCUGAAACCACCAAGAUCCAAGGAUUCCUGACUACAAAAGACAUGGAGAAUUGGCCUUGGUGGCAAAGACGGAGCAUUGUACAUUCGCAGGGAGGGAGUUGCGGGAUGUAUUCUUGGGAAUGUGGAGUGAAGUGGUGGAGUGGGUUUAUUCCAGGGGUUGGAAUCUGUGCUUAUGGGCAAGUACCAUCAGAAUGCAUGGCCCUCCCUAAUUGGCUUCCGGAUGAUAAAUACCAAAAAUGCUUUACUACCACGAACAUUACUCCCACCAUCCCCUCCACCUUUGCCACCACUCCUGUAAGUUACCCAAAUACAAAUGAUAUUGUAUAUUUUAAUGAAACCUAUUGGCCAAGACCUUCACAUCUGAGUGACUUAUUGAAAUUUUGUUUAGAAAAUCUAUUUUUUAAAGUUCAGAAUAAUUCAUAUGAGAGAACAAUUGAAUGGAAAAUGAAUGGAUCAGUGGAAAUAGAAAUAUAUGAUAUCACUACAGAUGAACCCCGAGAAUCAGAAUUUAAGAUUAGAGGGUUCUAUAGCGAUGUAGAUUUGAUGGUCGUUCCUGGAGUCUGUAAAUUGUUAGAUGAAAGAGGCCCUUAUUGUUAUUUGGUCUCCCAAUUAGUGAAUAACCAAACAUAUACCCAAAGAGUUUGUUCUGUCACUGGAAAUUUUACCUGUACUGAAAUUAUUCCAGUAACUCAUAAUUUAACCUGUACCAUAUUGCAAUAUACCCCCUCAUAUGCCAUUAAUGCUAAUGCCUCUCGGAAGUAUAUGAAAGUGUUUAGCCAACAGAUGUGGUAUAGUGCUGUACCAGAAAGAGAUGUAGUAGGAUACUGAUGGACUGUGAUUAAUGCUACAUUAGAGACUAUAAAAUUCACACUGCCCUUGUCCAGUUUUCAGAUUACCUCUACAUAUCCAAAUUGCUCAAGAGGGGCUGCCAUUAGGUUAACACAAAAAGGGCCUGGGUAUCCUCUAGAAAGAAGAGGGACUUAGCUGGAUCCCUAUGGGAUGGGGCCAAUAGUGAGCAGCAAUUUGGAAUAUUUAUAAAACCAAGAACAUGAAGAGAAAUUAGGACAAUUGGAAAAAGCCACUGGCCUUAUAACUGGAGCACAACUAACCCAGGUUCAGGCUGGAGUGGAUGAAUUACGUGUUAUCUCCGCCCUUAGUUCGAUGACCCAGAAGCUGUUAACAGAGAUGGUACUGAAUAUCACUGAGGCUGGGAAGGCAUUGCAGUGGGAUCUGGCUUGCUCAGAAAUCCAGGAUUUCCAUUCGGAAUGAUCUAAAGCAUCAGGCCUGGCCUACUGCCCUUACAGACACUUCAGGAGUAUCAUCUGAGCUGUGGCCAUGGAGACACACUUGGAGAUUUUCUGUGUGGAGGUGCAAACAUUCACAGCAAACAUUCACAGUGUUCCUUCCAAGCAUACAGACCGGUUGGAGGGAUGUGGGCUCCCACAUACCAUAUCCUUCCGGGUCCGUGGGGAGGAUGCAUGUGGGACUGGGUAAUUCACUGAGACAUUUGGGAACUUUGACUACCGGGUAUGCCUAAUCGAUUUUUAGUCAGUGCUCCCAGAAUAACACCCGACAUUUGGAUAGGGAAAGGGAGUCAAUGGACAUUCUGGCCGUUGGAACCCCCACAGCUUCAGUGUGUACGGAAACUGAAGCUCGGGGAAGUUGUCACUGUUCAUGACAAUGUUUGUUGGGAGGGUAUGGAACAAGGAACUACACUGACAGGACACCUACUCUUCUAAGCUAAUGAUAGCUGUGUUCAUGUUGAAGCCACCAUGUUACAAGAUAUUCAUUUUUAUCUCACCACUGCUGCAGGCAACCAUAUUAUUUACUGGCCUACAGAUAGAAUCUUUCAAUCAGCCCUUAGGUUUCAGAUACCCUUUAACUGGACUACCCUAAUACCUGAUCGAUUCCAAAAUUUACUUUCACUCCUACCAGAGAUUCAGAAAAUUUCUGAGUUACAAGGGCAACUUCAUAUGCUUCAAAAUAUAUAUCAAGUUGAAAAGUAUACCGCUUAUAGAAUGUCUACCUUAUGUACUAAGUAUGAUGUAUUGUGUUUUGUGACUAAAAUUGUGCAACAACCCCAUUAUAGUAUUAUUGUGGGCAUGUUAUUGCUUGUAUUGUUGUUAUUUAGUUUAGGGUUGUGUUAUUGUUGUUGUAAAGGACGUAAUAAUACUUUUCAUGUCCAUACUAACCAUGCAUUAUCAUUGUAUCCAAUUAAAACCCCUAAAGUUGAAGUAUUUGAUGCUGAGUUUGAAAUACAAAAUUUAAUGAGAAUGGAAGUUUAAAAAUUGAUAGGUGUGCUGGAAACACAAAAGGGGGAGUAUGGAAGUAGAUAAAGGGAAUUUGGACACAGGCCUCUAUAUUGAGCAGGAGUCAGGCUAACUCUAGCUUUAAUAACGUGAGAUUUGUAGAAGCGGGGAUAGUGCGAAUCGAGUGGAAAACAACGGUGAAAGAAGCUAUUGUGACCUUGUAUUAGAUAAGAAUAGAAUGCAGACUAUAACAGAAAUGGUAAGAAAAAUAAGAUAUCAUGAAGGAAUAGGUAUGAACAAUAUGCAGUUGUGGCGUAUUAUUGUCUGUAAUAAAGGUAUAAAUACUUGCUCUAAUUGUUUAUCUGGCAGAGACCUGCCUAGGUGAGGGGAAACCUAGUGUCCUAGUGCAUUCUCUCCCUCUGUGCAAUUGCUUGAAGUAAUAAAGUGUAUCUGAUUUGCU